rnacentral:rRNA from 1 species
CCUACGGGUGGCAGCAGUGAGGAAUAUUGGUCAAUGGACGAGAGUCUGAACCAGCCAAGUAGCGUGUAGGAUGAAUGCCCUAUGGGUUGUAAACUUUUUUUAUAAAGGAAUAAAACGAGGCACGUGUGCCUUUUUGCAUGUACUUUAUGAAUAAGGAUCGGCUAAAUACGUGCCAGCAGCCGCGGUAAUACGGAGGAUCCGAGCGUUACCUGGAUUUAUUGGGUUUAACGGGAGCGUAGAUGGGUUGUUAAGUCAGUUGUGAAAGUUUGAGGCGCAACCGUAAAAUUGCAAUUGAUACUGGCAGGCUUGAGUACAGUAGAGGAAGGCAGAAUUCGUGGUGUAGCGGUGAAAUGCGUAGAGAUCUCGAAGAACCCCGAUUGCGAAGGCAGCUUACUAAACUGAGACUGACAUUGAUGCGCGAAAGUGUGGGUAGCAAACAGGAUUAGAUACCCGAGUAGUC